UACGGGGGGGGGCAAGCGUUGUUCGGAAUUACUGGGCGUAAAGGGCUCGUAGGCGGCCAACUAAGUCAGACGUGAAAUCCCUCGGCUUAACCGGGGAACUGCGUCUGAUACUGGAUGGCUUGAGUUCGGGAGAGGGAUGCGGAAUUCCAGGUGUAGCGGUGAAAUGCGUAGAUAUCUGGAGGAACACCGGUGGCGAAGGCGGCAUCCUGGACCAACACUGACGCUGGGGAGCGAAAGCGUGGGGAGCGAACAGG
rnacentral:rRNA from 1 species